rnacentral:lncRNA from 1 species
UCUUCUCAUUAUAAAUGUAUAUGGUUAUCGCUUACAAGCUAUUGUAGUUGUAUCUACAACAAAUACUGCAUUUUAUGCUCUACAUUUUAUACAUUCGAUUUGUUUGGGUUGAUUCCAGUUCGGUUUGAGAUACUUAGUUAUCCAAGUUCAAUCUAUCCUCAAGAUGAGUCAUAUUUUUCAAUCCAAGCCUAAACCAAGUAACUUUGGUUUGAAUUGGAUUAGAUUAUUUUAGAUUGGUUACAAAUUAAAAGCAAGUAAUUCUAAUCCACUUGCGGCAGAGUAAAAAGCUAUUCACAUUUUUAUACCUUUUUUCUUGUCCCCCUUCGAACUCUAAUUUCUCUUCACCGGUGGUAGAGUUUUUCCUUAGGUUGGAAAAAAAGAACUACGAAGGAUUGCUUCGAAAAAUGGAGCGGGCUGACUGCGAUGCUCUUUUUCUCUCCGAAAAAAGCAAAGGAGGGAGUCGGCUGCUUUAAUGGUUUAGUAGCCGCCCUUUUCUUGAUUUUUACACAAGGUCACCAGACUAAAAUUCCAAUAAGGUAGGAAAACACUCUUCUAUAGAUUAACUCAUCAGCCCUUAUGGUGCAG